rnacentral:rRNA from 1 species
GUGAGGAAUAUUGGACAAUGGGCGCAAGCCUGAUCCAGCCAUGCCGCGUGCAGGAAGACGCAUCUAUGGUGUGUAAACUGCUUUUGUACGGGAAGAAACACUCCCUCGUGAGGGAGCUUGACGGUACCGUAAGAAUAAGGAUCGGCUAACUCCGUGCCAGCAGCCGCGGUAAUACGGAGGAUCCAAGCGUUAUCCGGAAUCAUUGGGUUUAAAGGGUCCGUAGGCGGUUUAAUAAGUCAGUGGUGAAAGCCCAUCGCCCAACGAUGGAACGGCCAUUGAUACUGUUAGACUUGAAUUACAAGAAAGUAACUAGAAUAUGUAGUGUAGCGGUGAAAUGCUUAGAUAUUACAUGGGAUACCAAUUGCGAAGGCAGGUUACUACUUGUGGAUUGACGCUGAUGGACGAAAGCGUGGGGAGCGAACAGGAUUAGAAACCCCGGUAGUCC